rnacentral:pre_miRNA from 1 species
UUAAUACUCCUUCCGUUCUGAAUUAUUUGUCGCAACUAUGAAUGUAUUUAGAUGUAUUUUAGUUUUAGAUACAUCCAUUUCUACGACGAAUAAUUUGAAACGGAGGAAGUACUAU